rnacentral:rRNA from 1 species
CCUACGGGUGGCAGCAGUGAGGAAUAUUGGUCAAUGGCCGUAAGGCUGAACCAGCCAAGUCGCGUGAGGGAAGAAGGUCCUAUGGUUUGUAAACCUCUUUUAUCGGGGAAUAAAGGUCUCCACGUGUGGAUAGGUGCGUGUACCCUAUGAAUAAGCAUCGGCUAACUCCGUGCCAGCAGCCGCGGUAAUACGGAGGAUGCGAGCGUUAUCCGGAUUUAUUGGGUUUAAAGGGUGCGUAGGUUGUUUUUGAAAGCAGCGGUGAAAGUUUGGGGCUCCACCAUAAACUUGCCGUUGAAACUGGAAGACUAGAGUGUGCUUGAGGUAUGCGGAAUGCGUGGUGUAGCGGUGAAAUGCAUAGAUAUCACGCAGAACUCCGAUUGCGAAGGCAGCUUAC